CUCUCUGAUUUUUUUUUGUUUGUUCUUGUUUCUUUUCUUUUCUUGCACAACCUUGUGUAUACAAUGGGUGCGAAAAUUUCAAAAUCUGAAACGAAAAAGUUAGCAGCUGAAUUUAGAAUCGAUAGAAAA
rnacentral:ribozyme from 1 species